AGGAAUCAACUGACAGCAGUACAACUGUGAGAGGAUGAGGAUGUGAAAGCCUCUAAGCUGCCAGACCUGUUUGGCGUUGUACGCAGGGCGUCAGGGCCCAUGUCUGACAGGGAGGGAGGCACCAGCAUACCCCCUCCAGCCGCCCCCUCCACCGCCUCCCCACCCAUGGCACACACACCAUGCAGCUAUCCCGUCUCUCAGACCUAGUGAGCAAUGUUCGCCGGUCGUCCGCCCCAUCCCCAGCCCCCACUCCACCUGCGCCCGC